rnacentral:sRNA from 1 species
AUGCACCGUAUGGACACCUUGAAGCGAACCCCGUGGCGAGAUGCGGCACUUGACAUCGUCAUGUCUCAAACGAUCGCUCUCGGGGAGAUGAGUUCUCU